rnacentral:misc_RNA from 1 species
AGUUCUCAACCACAUAUUUUUUGUGGCUUGGAUCGGUGGGAUGUUGCCGGCUUUUAAUUAGUAGGCUCUCCUUAAAUGCAUAAGUGGUAUUUAGAAAAGCUACUUGUUGGGUGUUAUAAAUUGAUAAUACACCUUCUGGCAAUUCUACUAUGCUGCUUCUAACACUUUAUUUAUGAUAA